rnacentral:rRNA from 1 species
UCCGUAGGUGAACCUGCGGAAGGAUCAUUACCGAGUGAGGGCCCUCUGGGUCCAACCUCCCACCCGUGUCUAUCGUACCUUGUUGCUUCGGCGGGCCCGCCGUUUCGACGGCCGCCGGGGAGGCCUUGCGCCCCCGGGCCCGCGCCCGCCGAAGACCCCAACAUGAACGCUGUUCUGAAAGUAUGCAGUCUGAGUUGAUUAUCGUAAUCAGUUAAAACUUUCAACAACGGAUCUCUUGGUUCCGGCAUCGAUGAAGAACGCAGCGAAAUGCGAUAAGUAAUGUGAAUUGCAGAAUUCAGUGAAUCAUCGAGUCUUUGAACGCACAUUGCGCCCCCUGGUAUUCCGGGGGGCAUGCCUGUCCGAGCGUCAUUGCUGCCCUCAAGCACGGCUUGUGUGUUGGGCCCCCGUCCCCCUCUCCCGGGGGACGGGCCCGAAAGGCAGCGGCGGCACCGCGUCCGGUCCUCGAGCGUAUGGGGCUUUGUCACCUGCUCUGUAGGCCCGGCCGGCGCCAGCCGACACCCAACUU